AUUGAACGCUGGCGGCAGGCUUAACACAUGCAAGUCGAGCGGGGACUUCGGUCCUAGCGGCGAACGGGUGAGGAAUGCUUGGGAAUCUGCCAGGUAGUGGGGGAUAACGUUUCGAAAGGAACGCUAAUACCGCAUACGUCCUACGGGAGAAAGGGGGGGAUCUUCGGACCUCUCGCUAUCAGAUGAGCCCAAGUCGGAUUAGCUAGUUGGUGAGGUAAAGGCUCACCAAGGCGACGAUCCGUAGCUGGUCUGAGAGGAUGAUCAGCCACACUGGAACUGGGACACGGUCCAGACUCCUACGGGAGGCAGCAGUGGGGAAUAUUGGACAAUGGGCGAAAGCCUGAUCCAGCCAUGCCGCGUGUGUGAAGAAGGCCUUCGGGUUGUAAAGCACUUUAAGCGAGGAGGAAUGGCUCUGGGUUAAUACCCUUGAGCAGUGACGUUACUCGCAGAAUAAGCACCGGCUAACUCUGUGCCAGCCGCCGCGGUAAAAC
rnacentral:rRNA from 1 species